rnacentral:rRNA from 1 species
CGAAUGCUGACAUAAGUAACGAUAAUGCGGGUGAAAAACCCGCACGCCGGAAGACCAAGGGUUCCUGUCCAACGUUAAUCGGGGCAGGGUGAGUCGACCCCUAAGGCGAGGCCGAAAGGCGUAGUCGAUGGGAAACAGGUUAAUAUUCCUGUACUUGGUGUUACUGCGAAGGGGGGACGGAGAAGGCUAUGUUAGCCGGGCGACGGUUGUCCCGGUUUAAGCAUGUAGGCGGAGGUUCCAGGUAAAUCCGGUACCUUUUAACGCUGAGGUGUGAUGACGAGGCACUACGGUGCUGAAGUAACAAAUGCCCUGCUUCCAGGAAAAGCCUCUAAGCAUCAGGUAACACGAAAUCGUACCCCAAACCGACACAGGUGGUCAGGUAGAGAAUACCAAGGCGCUUGAGAGAACUCGGGUGAAGGAACUAGGCAAAAUGGUGCCGUAACUUCGGGAGAAGGCACGCUGAUAUGUAGGUGAAGCGGUUUACCCGUGGAGCUGAAAUCAGUCGAAGAUACCAGCUGGCUGCAACUGUUUAUUAAAAACACAGCACUGUGCAAACACGAAAGUGGACGUAUACGGUGUGACGCCUGCCCGGUGCCGGAAGGUUAAUUGAUGGGGUUAUCCGUAAGGAGAAGCUCUUGAUCGAAGCCCCGGUAAACGGCGGCCGUAACUAUAACGGUCCUAAGGUAGCGAAAUUCCUUGUCGGGUAAGUUCCGACCUGCACGAAUGGCGUAAUGAUGGCCAGGCUGUCUCCACCCGAGACUCAGUGAAAUUGAACUCGCUGUGAAGAUGCAGUGUACCCGCGGCAAGACGGAAAGACCCCGUGAACCUUUACUAUAGCUUGACACUGAACACUGGUCCUUGAUGUGUAGGAUAGGUGGGAGGCUUUGAAGUGUGGACGCCAGUCUGCAUGGAGCCAUCCUUGAAAUACCACCCUUUAAUGGCUGGUGUUCUAACGUGGACCCGUUACCCGGGUUGCGGACAGUGUCUGGUGGGUAGUUUGACUGGGGCGGUCUCCUCCUAAAGAGUAACGGAGGAGCACGAAGGUUAGCUAAUCCUGGUCGGACAUCAGGAGGUUAGUGCAAAGGCAUAAGCUAGCUUGACUGCGAGAGUGACGGCUCGAGCAGGUGCGAAAGCAGGUCUUAGUGAUCCGGUGGUUCUGAAUGGAAGGGCCAUCGCUCAACGGAUAAAAGGUACUCCGGGGAUAACAGGCUGAUACCGCCCAAGAGUUCAUAUCGACGGCGGUGUUUGGCACCUCGAUGUCGGCUCAUCACAUCCUGGGGCUGAAGUAGGUCCCAAGGGUAUGGCUGUUCGCCAUUUAAAGUGGUACGCGAGCUGGGUUUAGAACGUCGUGAGACAGUUCGGUCCCUAUCUGCCGUGGGCGCUGGAGAAUUGAGGGGGGCUGCUCCUAGUACGAGAGGACCGGAGUGGACGCAUCACUGGUGUUCGGGUUGUCAUGCCAAUGGCAUUGCCCGGUAGCUAAAUGCGGAAGAGAUAAGUGCUGAAAGCAUCUAAGCACGAAACUUGCCCCG